UUUCCAUCUCCACUUCCUUUAAUGAAGACGUUUGUUUGGAGAGUGUACGGCUUCCCUGGUGUUGUUCCCAGGAAUUCUAGAUCAAUUUCGUCGUGGUUUCCAGGGAAAUAUUGGUUGUUUGAGAGCUGAAUCAGAAUGAAUUAAAACACGUGUAGCCAGGUUGGAGUUUUACAGCAACACCAAAGUAACCGGAUCGGUAUGAGUGCAGUGAUUUAAACCCACUACCUGUUCGACGAAAUUACCCACAGAGAAAAAUCAGCCAAAAUACAGCAUGGGGUCAGUGAGAGUGUGAAUAAAGUGUAAAACUAUUCAAACAAAAACCACCACAAUGCAUCAAUCUUAUAAUAAUCAUUGGAUGUAGAUUCGAAAGUUCGGCAUGUAUGUGGGACUUUUAGGGAGUUUCUCUCAUACAUCCAAUGCUUAUUUCGAACCAGCUACAUUGUGGUGGUCUUCUUAACUCGUUGACCUGAAGUAUUGUCGAGCCAAAUGGUUACAGAGCCUUGGUCGUCAAGCCUUUGAUGCUGAGGACCCCAGAGGUUUCUAAAAUACUGACUAAACCCAUUGGAUUGAACAGAGGAACUGGGGUAGAAGCCAGGGAAGGGUGGACCCUGAGCAGUAGUGCUACUAGAGGACAUUAAAAGAACAAAAACGAGGAAGAAAAGAAAAGCAGCCAUGAAACUAGAGCAAUAAUGUGAUAGCAUAUAUUGCUGUUUGUUGGAAGCUGUGGUUGGAGGUGUGGGGCAAAGAAAAUUGAAGAGAAAUGGGGUGGGAAUUUGGGAAUAAAUAGAGGAGUUCAUGAGAUUUCAGGUCCCACAUUACACAGAAACAGUUGACACAAAAUGGAGGGAUUGAAGUAGAAUCUGCGGAAUGAGAUCAGUGGAGCAUAAUCUUCUCUUCAAUUAACCAAAACAAAAAACUUGUCGUGUCUAAUCCUUCUUCUCCAUAUCUUGAUGUGUGGCCUAAUAAGAUUUGCUUCAGUUCUUUGAUACGACAGUGGAUGUAGACUACGGUCGAAUCGCUAAAACGAUAUAGUUAUGGAAUGACAAAAACUUGCAAGUUAUAUUAUGGUCGAUACGCUCACAUGUAAAGGCAAAGGAAGGAGUAAGAACGUGAUUGAUGUCACCACAAAUGGCCCAAGUUUAUGCUUUUUUGGUGAAAUUCUUUAGCAGGAGAUAAGGCAUGAGAAGCAAGAAUUGAUUGACGCCAAUAUUAAAAAAAAAAAAAAAGAAAGGUUAUUCAUAGUAAUUACUUUCUUGCUUUAAUUUCAAAGACACAAUCCCAUUAGAUAAAAUUUGGAUGUAAUUCUGAUUACUGAUUCUGUCAUAUUCUAUUAGCAUGCUUUUCGUUCAUCGUUUGCUAUAGAACAAUCUUUAAUAGUUGACAGACUUCUAUAAACUUUAAAGGUGACGGUUAAAUUU